rnacentral:lncRNA from 1 species
UCAUGGCAAACAUUGAAACAUGUCAAUUAAGAUAACUAAGGAACUAUUCUUCCCUCCCAACAACUAGCUCAUUUUAUUCCAAUAUUAUAUUAACAACUGUAAAAAAUAAAAAUAGUGCUAAAUGCAGCCAAAUAUUUAGACAUAAUACAAAAAAGUUUAAAUUAACAUCUGUGAUUCUUUCUAAUCCCAUUAGUAACAUUCCAAUAAAGCAAAAUGCCAACCCAUCACCCAAAUUGAUGAGUUUUAGCUUGUUGUUAUACUCUGAAAUCAAAAGAAAAACAAGCACGAAAGAUUAUUAAAUAUGUUAGCAGACAUACCCCUAAGGAAUUCCUUGCUCUGGAUGUGCAAAAA